UUUACGUUAUUAACACUUUGACUAGUUCACAAGAAUGUAUUCGGCUGAGAGAUUUAUUCAAUAAUAUGAAAAUGCAACAGUGAUAUACAAAGACAAUCAAACACCAGCAUGUUUCACUAAAAAUCAUCACUACAAUAGGAGAACUAAACAUAUGGAGAUAAGAUAUCACUUUAUGUGAGAACAAGUAGAGGCUAAAUCCAUUAGAGUAAAUAAUUGUCAAAGUGAACAUAUGGCAACUGAUAUUUGACUAAAGUACGGUAGUUUUAAACUUUAUAGAAAUAUUGUUAAAACUUGGAGGCAUAAUUGUAAAGUGUCUACUAUUAUUUAUAAAAUGAGGGAUGAUAUUCUUAGAAAAUUCGAGGAAGAGGUGGGAGCAAAAUUUGAUAUAUGAUAUUACUAAAUUAAAACAUUUUUUAACUUCUACUGCCUGCUAUAUGACUAUAUUUUAAAUAGUAUUUCACAGAGGUAGAUGUUAACGACUGGACGACCUAUUAAAGAAUGAAAAAAGAAAAAAAAGGCACACAUACCAACCGCAUUCAACCGUUUUUAGUGUUCCGUUUCACGUUCAAUUGCUAAAGUAGAAAAAAUUAAUUCGGGUAAUAAGUUAUAUGUACGGCUAAAUUGGUAGGUUGAGGUAUACUUUCUUAUAAAAGCUCUGUUAAAUAAUAUUAUACAGCUAAUAACUUGUUUUUAUUUUAGGAAUAGUCAUAGUUUGGAACAAAUUGGAACUUACCAAAGAAAUUCUAGUUUUCUAGAAUUUUAUUAAGUACAUUUAUAAAUUAGCUUUAUUCAUUUGGUUCAAACAUGGUGUUAGGACAACAGGAAUCAUGUUUCUAGUUGUAUAGUUGAUUGAUAGUAAAGACUUUAACAUAUGAUAAUUUCUUAUGUUACGAUUUAUACGCAUUUGGUCCCUGCCAAAAUCCUGUAAAUUCAAAUUUUAAUACCUCUUGAACGUAUUCAUUAUAAUUUUACAUUUAAUUACAUUGCUGAAAUUACAAACAAUAACAAUUCAGAUAUAGUCCUGCUUUCAAAGAUG
rnacentral:lncRNA from 1 species